AAGUCGUAACAAGGUUUCCGUAGGUGAACCUGCGGAAGGAUCAUUAACACGUAUCCAACGUUAAACCCCCCUGUGAAUUUUAUCGCAGCUCUUGCAGAUGCCGGUAAGUUUGCAAUCCCUGGUAAAUCAUUGUUGAACAGAUUUUGAUUCAGGGACCUCUAACACCGACAGCUGCAAUUCGAGCGCUUGUGCAAGUGGAGUGUCUGAAAGUGUCGCUGGUUGUGUAAGGAAAACGCUUUACGAUCACUGGAGGCCGACACGGCCGGUGACCGGGCUGCUGUGGCUAUAUGCCCCCUAUAUUUACCCCACUACCUGAACUUGGGUCGCAGGAAACUGCUUCCCCUUAAAUCUGAACAACUGUUAACAAUGGAUAUCUUGGUUCUC
rnacentral:misc_RNA from 1 species